rnacentral:rRNA from 1 species
ACAUKGAGCACUGAUUUUUCGAACGCGCAUUGCGGCCUCGGGUCCUGCCCGGGGCCUCGCCUGUCUGAGGGUC